AUUGAACGCUGGCGGCAGGCCUAACACAUGCAAGUCGAGCGAGCGGCGGACGGGAGAGUAAUGUAUGGGGAUCCGCGCGAGAGAGGGGGAUAAACACUGGACACGGUGGCUAACACCGCAUUAUAUGGGAUGAACCCAUAUGGGAAUAGCUAGUAGGUGGGGUAAAGGCCACCUAGGCGACGAUCUCUAGCGGGUCUGAGAGGAUGAACAGCCACACUGGGACUGAGACACGGCCCAGACUCCUACGGGAGGCAGCAGUGGGGAAUAUUGCACAAUGGGCGAAAGCCUGAUGCAGCCAUGCCGCGUGUAUGAAGAAGGCCUUAGGGUUGUAAAGUACUUUCAGCGGGGAGGCGUUACCCACAGAAGAAGCACCGGCUAACUCCGUGCCAGCAGCCGCGGUAAUUC
rnacentral:rRNA from 1 species